GUGUAAGUACUAGCCAACUAAUAAAAUGGUGAAACCGCGAAAAGCUCAUUAAAUCGGCUUUGGUUUAUUAGAUAGUAUGUAGAUUGAAAUUUUUUGCUGCGCAAGAUUGCGCACAAAAAGUGAAUAUCUAAAAUGGAUAACUGUGGUAAUUCUAGAGCUAAUACAUGAAAUUAAAUGGUGCGAACGGCCGUUACGGAGGGUUUGUUACAAAACGAUCUGUCGGUUACUGUUGCACGCUUUUAUUAGAGGAAAAAGCCAAUUUUAUCGACCGAGUACGACACCAGUAAGUACAUGGACGUUUGUUUAUGCGCUUACGGUUCGUGCUCUUUAAUUGUGUCGAGAAAGAUCGGUACUUGUGUUAGCGAGUAUCGUUCGUGCUGUUCGCGCGGGCGUAAAUGCUUGCACGAUCAACUUUACACUGGUGUUGAAUCUGAAUAACUUGAACGAGUCCGUUUCGCUUAGGCGGAUUAACGUCGCGCGUGUGCUUCGGCGUGCACGUGAUUGUUGUCCGUGUCGGGCGAACGGAUUUAAAGCAGACCGCAGUUAAUGGUGAUUGCCGUCGUCUUUUCUAAGUGCGUCGGCAGAAGCCUUUGCGGCGUAUCUUUCAAUUGUCUGCCUUAUCAACUUUCGAUGGUAGAUUACAUGCCUACCAUGGUUGUAACGGGUAACGGGGAAUCAGGGUUCGAUUCCGGAGAGGGAGCCUUAGAAACAGCUACCACAUCUAAGGAAGGCAGCAGGCACGCAAAUUACCCACUCCCAGCACGGGGAGGUAGUGACGAUAAAUAACGAUCCGGGACUCUUUAGAGUUUCCGUAAUCGGAAUGAGUACAGUUUAAGUCCUUUAACGAGGAACAAGUGGAGGGCAAGUCUGGUGCCAGCAGCCGCGGUAAUUCCAGCUCCAUUAGUAUAUAUUAAAGUUGUUGCGUUUAAAAAGCUCGUAGUUGAAUCUGUAUCCCAUACUGUCAAUCGUUCGUAAUUUAAUUUGCGUGGUUUGACAUUUUUUGUAUGGGAUAUGCACGCUGGCGGGUUCGGUACGUAUCGGCAAAUGUGCAUAUUUAAAGCGGCGCCCUGUUGUUUUGUGUAUGCAAACGUCUGAUGCUUUAUGCACUCAACGUAUGCGUACGCGCAAUGCGUGCCGUGUGCACGCCGAUCGUCGAGGUCCCGAUGCGGCGGGUUCGAUUAAUUUCGAAUUCGUUUCGUAUUCUGAUCGAAACCUGUGCACGUCUGUCUAUGUGUGCCGCUUCGUUGCGCGCUCACGAACGGACUGUGCGCUAAACUCUGUCAGGCCAGCGAUAUUACUUUGAACAAAUUAGAGUGCUCAAAGCAGGCGUGAAUAUGCCUUGAAUAUCGCAGCAUGGAAUAAUAGAAUAUGAUCUCGGUACCGUUUUCGUUUUGAAAUUGGCUUAAAGGGCUAGAUAAAACCGGAAACGGUGUUCAAAUGCUCGGGCACGAUGCCGGCACGCCGAUGCUUUGUGUGUACUUACUACGAACGCUAUACGGUACGUGGGCAAUUCGUGCGCUCGCAUAAAAAUUGCAGUCACGAGCUCACGAACCGGUUUGUGUAAACACCGGUGUCGCUAAAGGCGUUUUGCCGUUUAGUAUCUUAUGUGACCGAUGCAUCUGAAUUAUUAGUCCGACGGUAUAU
rnacentral:rRNA from 1 species